UAGACCUGCAAGAAUAAAGCAGAGGGGGUGACACCCUCACUCAAAAUGGUCAUUUCCUUUCAUUGCAGAGUAGCAAAGAGAACUGAUGCAGGGGAAAUGCCGCUUCACCUCAAACACCAGGUUCAAAGGCUGCCUGGACAAGGCCACGUCAUUCGUGACCCUGGAUACCUAGCUUGGUCCCAGAUCUGAGCAAACUUCCUGGGGUUUCCAGGGAGGUUCUAAAGCAGGUCCAUGAGGUGGCGGGGAAAGUCCUCCGGGGCUGGAAAACCCUAGGGUAUGGAGUCCGUGCACAAAGUCCAGACCUGGCUGGGGAUGCCCUCCUUAGGUGAACCAAGCUUGAAACUGAGCUCAUCCACAGCCCCCCAGCCCACCGAUGCCUCUGGGCACACUGACCCUUCUAGUAACCCCAGCACUCUGUCCUCCUGUGCGUAUCCCACUUCCCUCCAAAUACUGCUGGCCAUGACAGGAGUGUUUACACCACAGAAGCCAGCAAUCACGACAAUCCAGGGCCACAUUUUGUCCAAGGUUUAAAAACUCACCCAUAAGUCACUCGUCAGUUCUCAGUAUCUAGUGAAUCUAAACAGGUUGCACCUGGUAAGCACGCAGUGAGCAGCGUUACUACUUGCCACAGCAUAAAUGAACCUGGGCAACAACCAAGGUCACGAGAGGGGACCACAGGACACGUGCAAAGAUUUAGUAUGGCCACAUAAACCGCCAUGAACUGUUCCUUUCCUGCUCAUGUCUGCUCUGUGCCCUCAGCACCUCCACUCCCACUGUAGCGGGCUGUUUAGACCCUCUGCGACUGCGCAUGGAUGAAAGGUAGGGUUGCGAGGACUGUUGGGGUAAAUCCUGGAGAGAACAUAUAAAGAGCUGGGGGCAGGACCCAGCUCACCAGGUUUCUCCACACCCCCACACCUCGGUGUGGGCUGUUGCGGCCCCUGGAAUGCACAUCCCUCUUUAGAGGUGCAGCGAAUGGUUACCAGGACUUAGUGAUUCCUGAAAGACCAGAAGUUGGUCUCGAGUGACAGACUCCAAACAGCACCAAGGAGUUUCAAAUGCCAACUGGCACUUCAAGGAAGAACAGUGUGAUUUGCAAGAAACAAGUUCACUCAUUUCUUACCUAACAGGGGCUGGAUGACCCAGGUCUGAGUUCCAGCCCCGCUACUGGGAAGAGCACUGGGCCUCAGCAUAAUGAUCUGCUAAGCUGUGAUUCUUACUCUUGCCUGCAAAUUGGCCAGCACUACUGUAAAGCUAUAAAUUAUGCAAUGCGUAUAAUGUACACAAGUGGAGACUCAAGGAGGACAGCACACAGAGGGUGCUGCCACCAGUACUAUAAGAAGACAGAGGAGGAAUGGGUAGGAGACAUCUAGUGCUAGAAGAAUACCGAGGAGACUAAUGACACUGGGGCUCCAGGGGGAGGAAACUGGACGGCUGGGGCCAGGAGCGGAUGGGAGACUUUUCUUAUAGACCUUUUUGUACCUUUUGGAUUUAAACCAUGGGAAUUGAUUACCUAUUCAAUAAAUAUAAAAAUAUUUUACUAAUUGUAAAGAAUUGGGCAGGUUAAAAUUAUGUACCCAUUGUUGUUAUAAAUAACAAUGAUGAUAAAAGUGAGUCCUGAAGGAGGGAAAGAAGUCAAACCAUAGUAUAUUACAGAGGAAAAGAGCUUGGCAACACACAUUCAAUGCUUUCACUGUGUGUCAUCACGUUCCAGAUGUCACUGAUGUAAGUCACAGUUUUAUGUACAAAAAAGAAAACACACUGGCAAUUAAUCUAAGAUGCUUUCUUUACACUCAAAAUUUUAAAUUUUAUUUUUAAAUUAUUUUUAUUGAAAGAACUCUUUAAGCUUACUCGGGCAAUUUUUUUUUUUUUUUAAAUCAAGUAUCACUCAUGCAUACAAAAAAAAAUGAAAUAAAUUGGUUCUUCCCAUUUAAAGUCCAACUAA